CAGUGUCUCAGACAGUGGCUGCCAUUCC
rnacentral:piRNA from 1 species